AUUGAACGCUGGCGGCAGGCCUAACACAUGCAAGUCGAACGAGUGGCGGACGGGUGAGUAAUGUCUGGGAAACUGCCUGAUGGAGGGGGAUAAAUACUGGAAACGGUAGCUAAUACCGCAUACCAUCGGAUGUGCCCAGAUGGGAUUAGCUAGUAGGUGGGGUAAUGGCUCACCUAGGCGACGAUCCCUAGCUGGUCGGAGAGGAUGACCGGCGAACCUGGAACUGAGACACGGUCCAGAGUCCUACGGGAGGCAGCAGUGGGGAAUAUUGCACAGUGGGCGCAAGCAUUAUGCAGCCAUGCCGAGUGUGUGAAGAAGGCCUUCGGGUUGUAAAGCCCUUUCAGCGGGUAGGCGUUAUCCGCAGAAGAAGCACCGGCUAACUCCGUGCCAGCAGCCGCGGUAAUUC
rnacentral:rRNA from 1 species